rnacentral:rRNA from 1 species
GACGAACGCUGGCGGCGUGCCUAACACAUGCAAGUCGAACGGAACUGUUUUGAAAGAUUUCUUCGGAAUGAAUUUGAUUUAGUUUAGUGGCGGACGGGUGAGUAACGCGUGAGUAACCUGCCUUCAAGAGGGGAAUAACAUUCUGAAAAGAAUGCUAAUACCGCAUGACAUAUCGGAACCACAUGGUUUUGAUAUCAAAGAUUUUAUCGCUUGAAGAUGGACUCGCGUCCGAUUAGUUAGUUGGUGAGGUAACGGCUCACCAAGACCGCGAUCGGUAGCCGGACUGGGAGGUUGAACGGCCACAUUGGGACUGAGACACGGCCCAGACUCCUACGGGAGGCAGCAGUGGGGGAUAUUGCGCAAUGGGGGCAACCCUGACGCAGCAACGCCGCGUGAAGGAGGAAGGUUUUCGGAUUGUAAACUUCUUUUAUUAAGGACGAAAAAUGACGGUACUUAAUGAAUAAGCUCCGGCUAACUACGUG